AGUUACCGCCAUUUUCAUGAUUAGCCACCAGUGAUGUCAAAACAUGGAUCAAUAAACGAAGAGUCCAGUUGUACAACAUUAUUCUACAUUUUAUCGAUAUAGGGUAAUCCAGGAGUAGUUGAAUACUGUGACAACUAUGAGUCAUCUGCAUACCGCUGCCAUGGUAAUAUUCCUGUAUGGGGCAUAUCACAUGCGGGCCAUGUACUUCCUGCUGGAAACCAAGCUUUAUAUAAAAUAUCAGUUUAUGAAGUUUGUACCAUUAUGGACAAGUCCAGACAUUUAUCAAAGAACAAUUGCAAGCAAUGAAAUGAGGUUUCUGGUUGUUCCAUCCAUUGAUGAAUCAUCUGAAGACAUUUUACCAAUAUGAACAGCUUAUCUAAAUGAAGAUAUCUUUAUGAUGUUUCCAACAACAGAAUGGCAGUGUCAGUGUAUGCCAGUUUUAAAAUAUACUUGUCCUGGCUUGCACUGUUUUGUCUUGGUAUUUUACCUCAAACUGCAAUUAAGUGGCAUGUAUGAUUGCCAUUAUUUUCAAGACAAGACACAAUGUAUUUAUUCAAUAACAGAAGGUUUGAUAAACUUGUAUUGUGCAAGUUGUUCCUUGUUCAUGACUAUUAAAGGUGGUAGAGCUGGACAAAAAUCGAGUUGCGAGUCAUUUGGAUUACUUCAGUUUUUAUCUCCCACAUUCUGUCCACUGAUGUCAGCCUCAUCAUAGGAAAGAUUUUUUAAAAGCAUUUCCAAAGUUUGAUGUCUGUAUCUCUGAGAAUGGAUAUAGUCAUGAUAAAAGUAUCUACUUGGCAGAUUUUUUUUUUGAAAACACUUGCAUCAGUGAUAUUGGAAUAUUGUUCAAACAUCACUUUUGUUUUAGAAGACAGUGCUUGAUGUGUGCUUAAUAAUGCUACGUGCAAAUGAAGAACUAUUCAUACAGAGAUGAGACUUAAGGUACAUGCAAAUGGAGACCUAUUUAUACAUACUUAUAUACUGUUAAUACACUACUUGCAGAUUAAGAACUCUUCUUAUAGAAAUGCAGCUUUUUUAUACAAUAUAAUUAUGCAGAUGGAGAACCAUUCAUUUGGAAAUAUAGCUUAUGCUACUUGCAGAUGGAGAACUAUUGAUCUGGAAUAUAGCUUAUGCUACUUGUGGACGGAGAACUGUUUGUUUGGAAUAUAGCAUAUGCUACUUGCGGACGGAGAACUAUUGAUUUGGAAUAUAGCUUAUGCUACUUGCGGAUGGAGAACUAUUGAUUUGGAAUAUAACUUGUGCUAAUUGCGGAUGGAGAACUAUUUGUUUGGAAUAUAGCUUGUGCUAAUUGCGGAUGGGGACUAUUUGUUUGGAAUAUAACUUGUACUACUUGUGGAUGGAGAACUAUUUGUUUGGAAUAUAGCUUGUGCUACUUGCGGAUGGAGAACUAUUUGUUUGGAAUAUAGCUUGUGCUACUUGUGGAUGGAGAACUAUUUGUUUGUAAUAUAGCUUAUGCUACUUGUGGAUGGAGAACUAUUAAUUUGGAAUAUAGCUUAUGCUACUUGCGGAUGGAGAACUAUUGAUUUGGAAUAUAGCUUAUGCUACUUGUGGAUGGAAUAUAGCUUAUGCUACUUGCAGGCGGAGAACUAUUUGUUUGGAAUAUAGCAUAUGCUACUUGCGGACGGAGAACUAUUGAUUUGGAAAUAUAGCUUAUGCUACUUAUGGAUGGAGAACUAUUUGUUUGGAAUAUAGCUUAUGCUACUUGUGGAUGGAGAACUAUUGAUUUGGGAAUAUAGCUUAUGCUACUUGUGGAUGGAGAACUAUUGAUUUGGAAAUAUAGCUUAUGCUGCUUGUGGAUGGAGAACUAUUGAUUUGGAAAUAUAGCUUAUGCUGCUUGCGGACGGAGAACUAUUGAUUUGGAAAUAUAGCUUAUGCUACUUGUGGAUGGAGAACUAUUGAUUUGGAAAUAUAGCUUAUGCUACUUGCGGACGGAGAACUAUUGAUUUGGAAUAUAGCUUAUGCUACUUGUGGACGGAGAACUAUUUGUUUGGAAUAUAGCUUAUGAUACUUGUGGAUGGAGAACUAUUGAUUUGGAAAUAUAGCUUAUGCUACUUGUGGAUGGAGAACUAUUGAUUUGUAAUAUAACUUAUGCUACUUGCAGACGGAGAACUAUUUGUUUGGAAUAUAGGUUAUGCUACUUGCGGAUGGAGAACUAUUGAUUUGGAAAUAUAGCUAAUGCUACUUGUGGAUGGAGUACUAUUGAUUUGGAAUAUAGCUUAUGCUACUUGCGGAUGGAGAACUAUUGAUUUGGAACAUAGCUUAUGCUACUUGCAGAUGGAGAACUAUUUGUUUGGAAUACAGCUUAUGCUACUUGUGGAUGGAGAACUAUUGAUUUGGAAAUAUAGCUUAUGCUACUUGCGGAUGGAGAACUAUUGAUUUGGAAUAUAGCUUAUGCUACUUGCGGAUGGAGAACUAUUGAUUUGGAAUAUAGUUUAUGCUACUUGCGGAUGGAGAACUAUUUGUUUGGAAUAUAGCUUAUGCUACUUGCGGAUGGAGAACUAUUGAUUUGGAAAUAUAGCUUAUGCUACUUGCGGAUGGAGAACUAUUUGUUUGGAAUACAGCUUAUGCUACUUGUGGAUGGAGAACUAUUGAUUUGGAAAUAUAGCUUAUGCUACUUGCGGAUGGAGAACUAUUGAUUUGGAAUAUAGCUUAUGCUACUUGCGGAUGGAGAAAUAUUUGUUUGGAAUAUAGCUUAUGCUACUUGUGGAUGGAGAACUAUUAAUUUGGAAUAUAGUGCUUAUGCUUCUUGUGGUUGGAGAAAUUAGGAAAACUUUUAAAAAAAUCUGCUAGAAUAAGGAAACUUGUUAUUUUAUAGUGAUUUUCCAACCCUGAUUGACUUGUAGGACGGUGAUUUCAGAGUUGUGAUAAAGAAAAAAAAAGGUGGAAAGCCAAAUUCAAGAAGAUAGCAACAGAUCUGUGAGUUUUUUAAAGCCACUUUCUGCAUCAAUGGCUCAAGUUACUGGAAUGUCAUUGUUUAACUCUUCAUAGCUACAAAAUUUUUCUGGCUUAAGAAAAUAAGAUUUUCUAGUUGUCAGUUUUUAUGAUACGUUGAUAACAUGUAUACAUGCUUCCCAACUUGAGCCAUUGUCCAUUUUCUUUUGCCUGCCAGGGAGUUGGUAACCAGGUAACCAGUGCUGUAGUUUCAUGCAGAUAUCUUCAGCUUACUUCUGUAUAUACUUUUAUUAGUUUCUGAGCUGUAAUUUAUCAUUUGUAAAAAUUUGUAGUUCACUGAAUAGGGCAGCUUUUAUGAGCUUUCUUGGUUACCAAUUAUCCCCGUCAUUACGUCUAAAGAACUUUUCAUACAAGGCACAAAUCAUUUUAUUGUAUAUAUGAAAGUCUACAUUUAUAUCUGGUCAGUCAGAUAUUGUUUGUAUGACAUAAAAAUUGCAUCAUUUAGGCUGUAAUUAAAAUUUCUUUUUGUUUGCUGUAAUGCGACCAAAAGUGUUUUUUUGUGGGUAAGGAAUUGCUUUUGCAUAUGAUUAUAUUGUGAUUCUUUUUUCAUCUGACUUAGCAGAAAAAUUGUUAAGCAGUGAUUUUCAUGGGCUGAUUGUGUUACUGCAAACAAAUAUUUUUUUAAUGGUAGCCCUAGUUUGAAUUAGUGGUGAAAAAUGUGAGAAUGUUGAUUUAUGCCUUGUUCAGCAUGUUUAGCAAACUUUAAAUUGUUCUGUGAAUACAAGCAACAUCAUAUUUUUAUUGAAACAAAGUUGACUAGUCUGACAUACAUUUAGGAUUGAUGUUUGAGGGCUGUAAAUUUAUAUGAGGGUGCUUAAUUAAGGCAUUUGGUGACCAGGAUGAAUGCCAUUUGUUAGAAGAUACUCUCUUUUUUUUUCAAGUUAUUUUAUGAACAUUUUCUCUCCAGUUAUGUUUAAAGAAGUUUCAAUAUAUAUAUAUAUGGGUAAUGGUUGACCUUUUGUUCACUUUUAAUGCAGCUGGUUUCUUGUUACCUAUUUAUGUAUAGUGAGUCAAGUUCAAAGCAUUAUUCAUAAGAUAUUUAUCACACAUUACUUACACUUUUUACACACAUUUUGUUUACUUCGCUCUGAGUAAUACCAUACAGAAUGACAUUACAAUAAUCUAAAUCAUGCAAUGUUGGCAAAAAGCCGGUCAAUAUGAGUAUUGACCGGGACGGCGGUCAAUACUGGUUAAAACCGGUCAAUACUGGUCAAUACCGGUCAAUACUGUCCGAUUCAAUAUUUUGGUCACUCUUGGGUGGUCAAUACUGGUUAAUUCAACACUUGAACAUAAUGCACAUUCACAGAUUAGAACAAGCUGUAACAGUACUGUAAAAAUAAUAAAGCAAUCUGAAUAAUAUAUAAUUUUGUUUGUUAAAAAAUAUAGUGAAUGAGUGGUCAAUACUGGUCGAUUCAGUUUUGGUCCUUGGCAACAACAAUGUGCCCUGGUCAGGCUCAGUUCUGGACAAUAUACUUAGACUAGUCAGUGGUCAAUACUAGUUUAUUAAAUGCUUUUAUCACCUAAAAGUAUAGCCUUUAUUUUAAAUUAAUUAAAAAAAAUAUAUUACUAUAAGUUACACUCAUUGAAAUGGACAGUACUGGUCAAUUCAAAUUUUGGUCCUACACAGUAUCCUUGAUCAACACAUAUAGUGGUCGAUACUGGUCAUUUAAAUACUUUGAUUGCAUAACUAAUUUUUUAGAUAAAGUUACCAUGUUCAAGCAUCUCAUUAAUACAAUGGGAUUAUUGAUCAUGACAGCUAAUUAGUAACUAG